rnacentral:rRNA from 1 species
ACGCACGCUGGCGGCGUGCCUAAUACAUGCACGUAGAACGCUGAAGGAGGAGCUUGCUUCUCUGGAUGAGUUGCGAACGGGUGAGUAACGCGUAGGUAACCUGCCUGGUAGCGGGGGAUAACUAUUGGAAACGAUAGCUAAUACCGCAUAAGAGUAGAUGUUGCAUGACAUUUGCUUAAAAGGUGCAAUUGCAUCACUACCAGAUGGACCUGCGUUGUAUUAGCUAGUUGGUGGGGUAACGGCUUACCAAGGCGACGAUACAUAGCCGACCUGAGAGGGUGAUCGGCCACACUGGGACUGAGACACGGCCCAGACUCCUACGGGAGGCAGCAGUAGGGAAUCUUCGGCAAUGGACGGAAGUCUGACCGAGCAACGCCGCGUGAGUGAAGAAGGGUUUCGGAUCGUAAAGCUCUGUUGUAAGAGAAGAACGAGUGUGAGAGUGGAAAGUUCACACUGUGACGGUAGCUUACCAGAAAGGGACGGCUAACUACGUG